CAUUGAUUCGGCUUGAAAUCCACUGAUGCGUAGCCGUUUGAGUGAAAAUACUCAUGCGGUCCUCUGGAUUCUUGUAGAGAUUAUGAAACCCUAGAUCUUGAAUUCUCGCCAUACAAACAUAAAAAGAAAAUAAAUUCAAGAGAAAAAACAUCAUCUCAAGGAUGAGAUCUAUUUAUUGAAAGCAAUUGAAAGGUUUUUUCGGGCUUACCACUAGUAAGAACACCAGUGGAAGCCCCUACAAAGAUUCACAACUGAGAGUAUGAGACCAAGAGGAAAAAAUAUGGUAGAGAUGGAGAGAAAAUAGAGAAGAGAGAAGGAAAACCUUCAAAAAAAAUUAAAAAAACCUUAGCAAUGGAGGCUAGGAAAAACCCUCAUAAAGGAAAAACCCUCAUAAAGGAAAAACCCUAUUAAGUUGAGUAUUACCAUUGAGUGUUAAAAACAACUCACUUUAUAUUUCCAUACUCUAAUUUGAGUUUCACCCUUGGAGUGGUCUAAGACCCCCAAAAUGAAGAAAAAAAAAAAACUAUAUUUACAUUUUUAGCUUUAAAAAUUAAAAUUUCAAAAAUUUAUAUUUAAAUAAAUAAAAUUUUAAAUUUAAGAGAAGAAGUUUGAACGCCUAAUUUAUCGUUUUUAGGUUAUAAUAUUCAAAUUUCAAAAUGUAAAAAUUUAAAAUUUCAGAGAAUAACGGGACCCAAGCCUUGUACCAAGUGCCAAGUAGAAGUUAGAACACCAGUGUUGCAGCUUGUGAAAUAAAUACAAAAUCUUUAGAAAGCUAGGACGACCUAGCGUCAUGAUCAUCACAAUUCUAGAUCUCCGGCCACCGCAACUCCACCUCCGACAACCAAGCUUCUCAUUUUCUUAGCUUCUGUAAAACUAAUUUGAAGGAAGAAACAUGAAUUCCUCAAUUAAAUCAGCCCUUAAACCCCUCUUUCCACUUUCAAUUAUACAAACUCCCACUUUUUCCAUUCCACCGCAUUUAUUCACCGAGCUCGUCGCAAUUCCUCCAAAGCUAAAUCCAAUAAUAACAACAACAAUUACAGAUGGUUGGGUCAUGGAAGGAGCUAUUUUAAGCAAAAUAUAACAAGUAAAGUGAAAGCUUGUGUUCGUAACCUGUUUAAGAAAAACGACAACAAUUACAAAAAACAGAAGGUCGGGUCAUCAAAGGAACCAUUUCAAGCAAAAUUUAAUGAAGAAUGUGAAAGCCUGUGUUGAUUACUUGUCUAAGAGUUGGCAAUCUAUUUUUGGCCAAGAUGACCAGUCAUCUAAUAAGGGUCCUUUGCGGUACAGGAAACCUCAUAAUGGAUCAGGAAGGACUUCUUUUACCAAGGGACGUCAAAAGAAGGAAAGAAGAAGAUAUGAAGAUGACCAUGAUGAUUUCUUCUGGUGGUAUAUGAUAUACUCAUCACGAAAGUCUGAUAAUGACGAUGACGACGAUGACGAUGACUUCUUUUAGUAAUGAAUGGUAGUUAGUUGGUGGCUGAUUGAUGUAACUAGUCAUAUUAUCUGGUUGAUGACUAGUUGGUUGUAUUAGCCGGUUUGACUAUCUAGUUAUACAUAGCUAAUUGUGUAAAAGUGUUUGGUAUGUACUAAAUUGGUUAUUGUUAGUGGUUUAGUGUAUAAAAUAACCAAAAAGCUAACUGUUCAAUUCAAUAGACUAAUUUUAAAAGCUCUUGAGCUUUGU